UUGACUUCUCGGGAAAUGUGGUGUAUGGGAAGGGCCGUUCCUAGCGAGCUGCGGCGGUGUAAGUCCCCCUCACAGGCAGCCCCGUACGAGGGACACCAAUCAAAACCCUCCUUAGGUCCGUGCGCCAGGGAGUACCGGACGACAGAGUCUGUCAGACAGAGCCCUCUCGCCGGCGGGCGCUCGGUUGCCGUUGAGCUCGGGCCUUUCGAGCACGGUCGGUCGCGAAGGCGCACGGACCCAAGGGGGGUUUUGAUUAGCGUGUGUUUUCCCUGUCUGAAAAGACUGGGUAACCCAAUGAAACUUCUUCGUGAUUGGGAUAGGGGAUUGCAAUUAUUCCCCUUGAACGCGCACCUCCCUUGAUAUGUGAUCCGACCCUCAGACAGACGAACCCACGGGCAGAACCCGAGGGCGCAAUGUGCGUCAAAGAAUCA
rnacentral:rRNA from 1 species